rnacentral:rRNA from 1 species
AACGAACGCUGGCGGCAGGCCUAACACAUGCAAGUCGAGCGCUCACUUCGGUGGGGGCGGCGGACGGGUUAGUAACGCGUGGGAACGUGCCCAGAUCUACGGAAUAGCCUCGGGAAACUGAGAGUAAUACCGUAUACGCCCUUCGGGGGAAAGAUUUAUCGGAUUUGGAUCGGCCCGCGUUAGAUUAGGUAGUUGGUGGGGUAAUGGCCUACCAAGCCUACGAUCUAUAGCUGGUUUGAGAGGAUGAUCAGCAACACUGGGACUGAGACACGGCCCAGACUCCUACGGGAGGCAGCAGUGGGGAAUAUUGGACAAUGGGCGCAAGCCUGAUCCAGUCAUGCCACGUGAGUGAUGAAGGUCUUAGGAUUGUAAAACUCUUUUAGCAGGGAAAAAAUGAUGGUACCUGCAGAAAAAGUCUCGGCUAACUUCGUGCCAGCCGCCGCGGUAAU